rnacentral:sRNA from 1 species
GCGCCUGUGAUGGGCAAGGCACGCGGGCUUUGGGCGCGUCUUGACGCGCGGCUUUGCAGGCAGCCCCCGCGUGUACGGUCCGGUACAUUCAGGAACUUCCUGAAUUUAAAGACUUC